rnacentral:misc_RNA from 1 species
AGGAGCUGCCGCAGGCUGCGAUCUUUUGACUUUGUUUCAAAAAGAAAAGAUCAAAAGAUCGCAGCCUGCGGCAGCUCCU